GACGGAGGGAGCAAGCGUUGUUCGGAUUUACUGGGCGUAAAGGGCGUCUAGGCGGGCCAGCCAGUCAGGUGUGAAACCCCCCGGCUCAACCGGGGAUCUGCACUUGAUACUGCUGGUCUUGAGUACGAAAGAGGAAGGCGGAAUUCCUGGUGUAGCGGUGAAAUGCGUAGAUAUCAGGAAGAACACCGGUGGCGAAGGCGGCCUUCUGGUUCGAUACUGACGCUAAAGCGCGAAAGUGUGGGGAGCAAACAGGAUUAGAAACCCUAGUAGUCC
rnacentral:rRNA from 1 species